GAUGAAGAACGGAGCGAAAUGCGAUAAGUAGUGUGAAUUGCAGAAUUCCGUGAAUCAUCGAAUCUUUGAACGCACAUUGCGCCUCCUGGUAGUCCGGGAGGCAUGCCUGUUCGAGCGUCACCAAAUCCAACUCAAGCGGUUUUGCGCUUGGUCGUGGCGGAAGAGUCGGUCUGGUUGCCGUCUCCCCUCCGAAAAUCAACGGCGGAAAGUCACUGGCAGUCAGCGUAGUAGUAUCGUUCGCCGAACAUCCAGUGGCAUUCCUGCCGACGUACCCCCACAAUUCUCGUGAUUGACCUCGGAUCAGGUAGGGAUACCCGCUGAACUUAAGCAUAUCAAUAAGCGGAGGA
rnacentral:misc_RNA from 1 species